AUACUGUAUUUUAAGGUUUCCUUUGCUUCUUUCAUUACUAAUAAUCUUCUCUAAAAUAGCAACCUUUGUAUUUUUUCAAUAAAGCACUUUUUGACAAAAAGGGAAUUUUUUUCUAAACAGAUUAUUAUCUAUCAAUUUGCAGAGUGAUCUUAUUUUCAGAUUCUGAGUACUUAUUAGACAUUGAUUUCUAAGAAUUUUCUGAAAGAUAAAAAUUAAGAGGAAAACACAAAUCCUCAAUUUCCUGAUUUAGAUUAUUUUCUGAACAGUACUUUUUCAUUUAUAUUCCUGUCUUCAUCAUUUAGCUAAACACAAACUAUAUUUCUCAAUUUUCUGUCCAAAAUAUUUAUGAUGUUUUUGUAUAUAAAAGUCUUGUUAUUUGCCAUCUGCCAUGACCUUAUUAGUUAGAUGUUACCGUACUUCCCAUUUAUUCAGCUGCAUUGUUGAACACAGUUCUUAAUUCAUAGAAUUAACCUUAUCUUACUAGUGCCCAGGGUUUCUACCUUUUAUGCUUUACUGGCCCUUCUCUUGAAUCAGACCCUUAACAUAUGUUUUAGUCUCUUGGCAUAUCCUUUUUCUCAUACAGCUAUUAUCUUUUAUCUGUGUAACAAAUUAUUGUAUCCUUCCCAGUAAAUUUUCACUUAGUUCUCUUUACGUGUCUUUCAAAUAGAUUUCAAGGUACUGUUUUCAAACAUUUCUGGGACAACUUCAAAUCAAAAUAUAUUUCAUCUCCAACUUGCAGCAUUGAGGAUAAGUGACCAUUUGAGGUCUAACUCUUCCUGUCAGUAUAGGAGUUACCUUAUGUUCUGAGUAUUUGGGCCAGAUGAUUGUAAGUUUUCCAACAUUUUAACAUUUAAUAAUAAAAUUAUUUUUAAAAUUAAUAUACUAGAGUAAAAGAACUCUGUAUAUUUUCCCAUUUCAUGCAAACAUGUUUAAAACAGUUUAUUCAGUUGUUUUAUUAGACUGUUGAAAGAGUAGGAAAGGUAGAAAGUGCAUAUUAUUUUAAUAAAUCUUAGAUUAUAUUUUAUAUCCAAUUUUUAGAAUCUGUAUUAUACAAGCAAGCAAAAUCACUUUAAGUGACUAAUGACUCAAAUAAAUUGCUAAGUGUAUUCAUCCGAUAAUGUAUCAAAGCUGAUAUUCAACUAAAGAAAAUUUUGCAUGUCAAAAAGAAUUUAGGUCCUUUGAGUAAAAGGACAUUCAGUUAACAGAUAUUAAACUUUAUUUCACUAGAUAGUAAGGACCUUAAAAGCAUCAUAAUAGGCAAUCUGUUAAUAGUUCCCUUAACAAAAAUCCUAAUUAUAUGCCAGAAUUAAGUAACUGAAAUAACUUGAUUUGAAUUAUAAUUAGACUAAAAUGACAUAUAUAAAUCCUAAAAACUUUUUCUAAAUGUAUAAUUUAAAAACACUUCUUGUAGAAAGUUAUGAGAAGGAACAUACUAAAUGCUAGGAUACACCUGCAUUGCUGCUUUUAAUCACAGCAACCAGAUGAACAUUAUAAUUGCUAUUCCUACUUUACAGAUGAGGAAACAAAAGAGAAGCUAGGUACUAGUUUGUCCCAGGUUGAAAUCUAGUAAUAGACAAAGCUGGGGUUUUUAACCUGGGUGUGCCUCCCAAAUCAAUUUUUAGCAGUUAGGCAAACAUAAGAUGUGUAGCAUAGACAUAGACAUGUCUAUGCUCAUUGCUGCUUAAGAAAUAAUUACUAACUCAAGACAAAAUUUGAUCCUACACAUGCCAUUGUGAAUCUUAAAAUCAUUUCACCGAACCCAUAGCAUUCUUAUAUUGCAGAGCUAAAGGUAAAAUAAAUUCAAGGGAAAAGUAAAGGUAGCUAUGGGAACAAAAGGCUUUUUCCUAAUUUAUUUCAUACUAGUUUUGCAACAAUUAAUUUAACAUCAAUCUCAUUAGUCCUUUGCCUAUAUCUUCAAAAUGUCUGCUUCAGAAAGUGACUUUAGAAAAUUUGUUAUUCCAGAGAACUAGUUGAGUAGAAUAUAGAAAGAAAAAAGGACAUCUUGGUUUUUUGGGGUUUUUUUUUUUUUGGACCCGAGUUCGAUCCCCAGUACCAAAAAAAACCCAAAAUGUAUGUUAGUUCUGAAUGUGAAAAUAGAGGUACUGUACUCAAGUAUAUGUUUCAGUGGGAAUUCUCACAAAAUUUGGUAAAUAAUUGAAUGUAAAAUAUUUUCAAGUUUUGCUUGAAAAUGGAAUACCUGGUAGGCCCCAGCUAUUAUAGUGAACUUCCUAGUCUCUGUAACUCUUUCUUGAAAGUUAUUUAAAAUGGAAAAAUAUUUCAGUACUUUGUUUCCUUUUUUCAUAUUUAUGGACAUAAAUAUUUCAUUGGAGGUUGUUAACUCCUAGAACUUGACAUUAAAUUGUACUCUAUACCAUAUUUUAUAAGUUUAUGUUGAACUUACUCCUAGUUUUAUGGAGGUUAUUACAAAAUUAUUCAUAAAUUGCUUUAUAUAUUAAUUUAUCUUACCAGCUAACUCCUUAAAGUUACAAUCUGUACAUGCAUUACUUGAUUAUCUAGAUCAUUCUAGAAAUUGUGUAACAUUCCCACAUCCAGAAAUCUCUUUCAGGCUUGAGAUGUUUCUAAAUAUUCAUACCCUUGACUGGCAGUGUUCUUUUCAGCAGAUAAAAUUGCAUUUUAGCUUUUAGAUUAUGAACUAUGCAAACUUUCCCCACAGUUACCUUACAUUAUCCUCUCCUAAAUAAACUCAUGGUUAAAUAAAUCUGAUAAUCAUUGAACUAGUAACACAAAAGUUACUAUCAAAAGAAGGCUUUUAUAGAAAGUUUCCAAAUUAACGUACAAGAAACGUGUAGCCCACAAGAUGGUAUAGUGCACCUCCUACCCAUUCCUCUCUUUAAAUCACCUCACUGUUUAUGUCUCACUUUAUCCCUCUGCUAUCUGACUUGUAAUCUAUGUGUCAGGGAAGUUUUCAUGUCUAGUCUGUCUCCUUGUUUUAACUUUAAAUCUAUUUCUCUAGCCCAGUAGGAAAGAAAGAACAGUUGCUCCACUCCCCAAUAUUGUUAUUCUAGUAUGCUUCAGGCUGCUGAGUUACCAUCUAAAAUCUCAGUUCUUCCAGAUAAAAUUGUCACAUUUCCUUUAGCUUUUUCUCAUUGGUCCCAUUUUAAUGACUUUAUUUAUAUUUAAGAGAACAUUAAUUACUCCAGUUAAAUAAUAUUUCAAUGGUUUGAUAUAAUUGAGAGUUAAUAUGUUAUCAUUUGAUAUUGAAUGCAACCAUCAAACCACCAGGAAAUUGGCGCUUAGUUUUUGUAUUAUCUAACAUUUUCUAUUAAAUUUUGGGAGUUUUAUGAAUUUCACUAGCUGUAACUAAAAAGCUAUGCAUACAGAAUUGUAUAACAUUUUGCUAUUAAAAUUGUUUACCCUAUAUUGCAGUAGGCUUAGUGUUAUGAUUGAGCCACAACAAUGUUUUAUAUGUUCCUUUAUAUCAAAUAUUGUAUUAAACACUACAUACAAGUUAACUUUCAAAAACAAACCCUAGAGAAAUUAGGUAUUAUCGAUGAACAUUUUUGAGGACCACUUUUGAAAUACUGUUGUUUCACAACAUAGACUUAAAUGACCGAGUAAAGUUGAGUGUUUGUAUAGAAAGAAAAAUUUACAAAUUUAUCAGAUACAUUUGAACAUACUUACAGAUUUAUGCUGUAAAUUAAAAUUAUUCCCAAAAUAAAUAUAUUGUAUCUUUAAAAAUUCCAGUUCCAUUAUUACUGUGACACAGUAUUUGUGAUAUUACUAUUAAAAAUUAUAAACAUAUACAUUUAUUUUUAAAACUCAAUUUGAAACCCACAUUAAAGUAUGGGUAAGAGGGCCGGGGAUUUAGCUCAGUGGUUCCGGUGCCUGCCUCGAAAGCACAAGGUCCCAAGUUUGAUCCCCGGUACCAAAUAAAUAAAUAAAUAAAGUGUGGGUAAGAAAAGGAAUCUUUAGAGCUCAGUUAUUUCAUUAGGGAUGUCCAGUUUAUGACUAAUUUUUUUCUUUUGACAAUACUGAGGAUUGAACUCAGGGGCUUCACACUGAGCUACCAUCUCCAGCCCCAGGCUAGGCUCACAUUUGAAAUACUGCCUCUGCCUCUCAGUGUGCUUGAAUUACAGGCAUUCACGACCACACCCAGCUCUAUGAUUGGAUUUUUAACAAAAUUAGAGUACCUGAAAUUACAAUUUGAUUUUUUUCAAACACAUUGGUUUAUCCAUUUAUUUGUACAUUAGAUUUCAGAAGCAUUUUUAUGUUUCAGAAUCACACAUGAUAUUACUUAAAAACUCAGGGCCCCUUUUAUCCCUUUGUACACUGAAAAAGUUCAAUUAGUACAAGCAAGGAAUUAAGUCCAGUUGAAUAAAAUGUUUGUUGCACAGUUCAUUUAAUGUUUCAUUUAUUUGACUUAAUUCAUAUAGUAUCAAUUUCAUUAAUCAUAAAAACUCACCCAGUUCUGUACUGAAUAGAAGGAAUGAUUCAACUAAUUGGCUGCUUGUUCUAGCAAAUUUAGGUCUUUGAGUUGAAACACCAGCUUAAAACCUCUCUGUUCUUUGGCUAAAUGGCUGGGCAGAAUGAGACAAAUCACUUCAUUUUGUUUUGUUUGUUUAAAAGAAGAAUGUAGUAAAGUAAUUCCUCUGAGGUAAAAUCUUGAGUGGUAAUUUAACAUUACAAAUCUUCUAAAAGUGAACUAAUGAGUUUAUAGCUAUAGUAAUGGUGUGGACGAUUUUGUGAAAGUGAUCUAUGGUAACCUGUGUAUCCCAUUGUCAGGCCCAAUCAGAAUUCUUUAAACCAGACAAGCUCAAUAUCUCAUUUGGUAUGCUGUAUAUUUAAAUCCUAGCAGUGAAGUUAUGUGUAAUCAGUCUCUUGUCUCAGGCUCUCCUUUUUUUUUUUUUAACCAAUCUUCCUAAGUAUGUAAAAGAAACAUUUUUAAAGAAGCUUACCAGUAAAAAAAAAAAAAAAUACUGAAUUCCUAAAAGAUGCAAUUCAAAAAUAGGUUAUAAUUUAACAUUGAAUUUCUUGAUUGCUGUGGCUUUUCUUUUUCUGGUCACAUUUAUUUAUUUAAACAAUUUUUGUAUGCCUCUUUUCCAUUUCUGUAGACAUAUUAUGUAAGCAUUUGUGUAAGCUGGAAUCAUCCUUAAGUUUUCUGUUGACAAUUUUUCAAAUGAAGAUACAUGGAUAAUUGUAAAAUACACUAACUCUUAGGGUGUUAUAGUAGCUGAAAACGAGAUGUGUAGCUGCCAUGCUUUUGCUGAAUGGACAGGAGAAACAAGCUACAGAGUAUUUGUUUCUGAGGAUGCUUUUCUGGAAAAAGGUUGAAAAAUAUUGGCACUUCCUCAGAACCCUCUUUCUUGUUAACGGGUAUCUUUUGUUGGUGUGUUUUGCUCUUAACAUUAAAAAUAGUGUCAUUAUGAAUUAAUGAAUAAUUACUUUCAGUUAUUUUGCUUUUGUAUAAGCUGUCUGAGACCUUGCUAUGCAGUAUAAGUUGUGUUUGAUGGAUCAGUGUGAGUAUGAAAUAAAGCAAAUCACUUUUCUUUUGUAUUAUCUAUGGAUGCCACUAUGAAAGCUGACAUUAAGCCACUAAAGAGUUUUCUAUGAAUAAGUGUAAGUAAAUGCUUUGAUAUAUAUAAACCUAAAUAAAAAGAUUGUAUUGAUACAAAGACAUUGGAGAAGGAGAUUUUAAGACCGUUCUUUAGGUUUAAAAAGGCUUGCUGUAAAAUGGUGCAUUAUUCCAUUUAUUAAAGAUCAUAUUAAUGACAAC
ensembl:lncRNA